GUGCUCACUUCAGCAGCACAUAUACUAAAAUUGGAAGAAUACAGAGGCAAUUAGCACGGCCUACAUGAAAGGAUGCAAUGCAAUUUGUGAAGCAUUACAUAUUUUU
ensembl:snRNA U6 U6 spliceosomal RNA